GACGAACGCUGGCGGCGUGCUUAACACAUGCAAGUCGAACGGAAAGGCCCUGCUUUUGUGGGGUGCUCGAGUGGCGAACGGGUGAGUAACACGUGAGUAACCUGCCCUUGACUUUGGGAUAACUUCAGGAAACUGGGGCUAAUACCGGAUAGGAGCUCCUGCUGCAUGGUGGGGGUUGGAAAGUUUCGGCUGUUGGGGAUGGACUCGCGGCUUAUCAGCUUGUUGGUGGGGUAGUGGCUUACCAAGGCUUUGACGGGUAGCCGGCCUGAGAGGGUGACCGGCCACAUUGGGACUGAGAUACGGCCCAGACUCCUACGGUAGGCAGCAGUGGGGAAUAUUGCACAAUGGGCGGAAGCCUGAUGCAGCAGCGCCGCGUGCGGGAUGACGGCCUUCGGGUUGUAAACCGCUUUCGCCUGUGACGAAGCGUGAGUGACGGUAAUGGGUAAAGAAGCACCGGCUAACUACGUG
rnacentral:rRNA from 1 species